rnacentral:rRNA from 1 species
GAUGAACGCUGGCGGCGUGCCUAAUACAUGCAAGUCGAGCGAACAGACGAGGAGCUUGCUCCUCUGACGUUAGCGGCGGACGGGUGAGUAACACGUGGAUAACCUACCUAUAAGACUGGGAUAACUUCGGGAAACCGGAGCUAAUACCGGAUAAUAUAUUGAACCGCAUGGUUCAAUAGUGAAAGACGGUUUUGCUGUCACUUAUAGAUGGAUCCGCGCCGCAUUAGCUAGUUGGUAAGGUAACGGCUUACCAAGGCAACGAUGCGUAGCCGACCUGAGAGAGUGAUCGGCCACACUGGAACUUAGACACGGUCCAUACUCCUACGGGAGGCAGCAGUAGGGAAUCUUCCGCAAUGGGCGAAAGCCUGACGGAGCAACGCCGCGUGAGUGAUGAAGGUCUUCGGAUCGUAAAACUCUGUUAUUAGGUAAGAACAAAUGUGUAAGUAACUAUGCACGUCUUGACGGUACCUAAUCAGAAAGCCACGGCUAACUACGUG